AGUGAACGCUGGCGGUAGGCCUAACACAUGCAAGUCGAACGGAAGCACAGUAAGCGCUUGCCUCUACCGGUGGCGAGUGGCGGACGGGUGAGACAUACAUCGGCAUCUACCAUUACGUGGGGGAUAACGUGAGGCAACUUACGCUACUACCGCAUACAACCUACGGCAGAAAGCAGGGGUUAUUCGCGCCUUUGCCGAUUCAAAGAGCCGAUGUCGGAUUAGCUAGUUGGGGGGGUAAAGGCACACCAAGGCGACGAUCCGUAGCGGGUCUGAGAGGAUGAUCGGCCACACUGGAACUGAGACACGGUCCAGACUCCUACGGGAGGCAGCAGUAGGGAAUCUUCGGCAAUGGGCGCAAGCCUGAUCCAGCCAUACCGCGUGGGUGAAGAAGGCCUUCGGGUUGUAAAGCUCUGUUAUUGGGGAAGAAAAGCAGCGGGUUUAUACCCCGCUGUCCUGACGGUACCUAAAGAAUAAGCACCGGCUAACUUCGUG
rnacentral:rRNA from 1 species